rnacentral:rRNA from 1 species
AUUGAACGCUGGCGGCAUGCCUUACACAUGCAAGUCGAACGGUAACAGGUCUUCGGAUGCUGACGAGUGGCGAACGGGUGAGUAAUACAUCGGAACGUGCCUAGUAGUGGGGGAUAACUACUCGAAAGAGUGGCUAAUACCGCAUGAGAUCUACGGAUGAAAGCAGGGGAUCGCAAGACCUUGUGCUACUAGAGCGGCCGAUGGCAAAUUAGGUAGUUGGUGGGAUAAAAGAUUACCAAGCCGACGAUCUGUAGCUGGUCUGAGAGGACGAUCAGCCACACUGGGACUGAGAAACGGCCCAGACUCCUACGGGAGGCAGCAGUGGGAAAUUUUGGACAGUGGGCGCAAGCCUGAUCCAGCAAUGCCGCGUGCAGGAUGAAGGCCUUCGGGUUGUAAACUGCUUUUGUACGGAACGAAAAGCCCCGGGUUAAUACCCUGGGGUCAUGACGGUACCGUAAGAAUAAGCACCGGCUAACUACGUGCCAGCAGCCGCGGUAA